AGGGUUUGAUUCUGGCUCAGGAUGAACGCUGGCGGCGUGCUUAACACAUGCAAGUCGAACGAAGCACUUUUAUUUGAUUUCUUCGGAAUGAAGAUUUUAGUGACUGAGUGGCGGACGGGUGAGUAACGCGUGGGUAACCUGCCUCAUACAGGGGGAUAACAGUUAGAAAUGACUGCUAAUACCGCAUAAGACCACAGCACCGCAUGGUGCAGGGGUAAAAACUCCGGUGGUAUGAGAUGGACCCGCGUCUGAUUAGGUAGUUGGUGGGGUAACGGCCUACCAAGCCGACGAUCAGUAGCCGACCUGAGAGGGUGACCGGCCACAUUGGGACUGAGACACGGCCCAA
rnacentral:rRNA from 1 species